rnacentral:rRNA from 1 species
CUACCUAUAAGACUGGGAUAACUUCGGGAAACCGGAGCUAAUACCGGAUAAUAUAUUGAACCGCAUGGUUCAAUAGUGAAAGACGGUUUUGCUGUCACUUAUAGAUGGAUCCGCGCCGCAUUAGCUAGUUGGUAAGGUAACGGCUUACCAAGGCAACGAUGCGUAGCCGACCUGAGAGGGUGAUCGGCCACACUGGAACUGAGACACGGUCCAGACUCCUACGGGAGGCAGCAGUAGGGAAUCUUCCGCAAUGGGCGAAAGCCUGACGGAGCAACGCCGCGUGAGUGAUGAAGGUCUUCGGAUCGUAAAACUCUGUUAUUAGGGAAGAACAAAUGUGUAAGUAACUAUGCACGUCUUGACGGUACCUAAUCAGAAAGCCACGGCUAACUACGUGCCAGCAGCCGCGGUAAUACGUAGGU